GGCUUACUGGAUCCAGGUGUGAAGCUGGGAUUUCAGCAGCAUGAGCUGAUGAGAAGCAGAGAAGCCUGAGUAAAUGGCUAAGAAAACAGGCAACAGAGUCCUACCCACUCGGGCAUUAAUAGAAGAGGCCAACAAAACCCAGAGAAUAUUGGAAAGAAAGUCGAAGGAUUGGAAAGACACAGCAGCCAUCCACUUCCGGCAAACAACGUUAAUAGAAGUGAAUUUGGAGAUGGGGAUCCUAGAAACAGGCAUGGCGGCAGCAGACAAAAGUCAGAGACGAAAAAAUGGAGGGUUUGACUCUCCCUGGAGGGGGGAAAAAAGCAAUUUAAAAGGUAUGUUUCUUACUGGAAAGGAAUUUCAGCUGCCAAAACAAGAUGAUCAGCCCAACCCCAAGCCCUGGUGCCAACCUCUGAGGCCAGAGAAAGAAGAGAAACAAUGAGUAGCUUCUUUAAGAGAAUAUUUGAGAGGCUGAAGCUUCUUAAUUCUUCAUUGUGGAUGGAAAAUUGAGCCCUAAAUAAUUUAUUGUAUUUUAAAUUUACUGAUGGAAGCAGUUUUGAAAACUUCACUGUUCUUUUUGAAAAGAAUUAACCUACUUAAAUGUUUUAAAUCUUUUAAAGUACUUUACCUAUUAGUGGUAAAAUUAGGGGAAAUUUUUGUUCAAUGGAAUAGGUUAUUAAGAACUGAGAAGGGAGGAAUUCAUUCCCUCUUUCCCCCAGAACCCUUGAGAAGGAGGUGG
rnacentral:lncRNA from 1 species